AUGAGAAGUUCUGAGACUGUUAAGUGCCCUGUGGACUAUUUUCUUAUAAGCCCUGCAUUUUGUCAGGAGAUGAGAAGAACAAGGCACAACUCUUGGGCCUGGGGAGCUUCCAGGCCUUCUGAAGGUCCACUCCCAGGUGAAAUAGACGCGUGGCCAUCCUGUUGGUGUUUAGCAGUUUUCGGCGGACACAACAUCUUUGUUGGUAUGUGGUGCUGAGGAUCGAACCCGGGCCGCACGCAUGCCAGACGAGCGCGCUACCGCUUGAGCCACAUCCCCAGCCCAUAAAAUGACACUUUUAAAACAAAUAAGGAAGCCAGAUUGGGAAAAGAUAUUAGCAUCACAUACACCUGAUAAUAGUCUUGUAUUGAUCAAAACAUUGAUCAAAAGGCUUGAACAGAUACUUUAUAAAAUAAUGUACAUAAAUGCCCAAUAAACUAAAUUUUAAAACUGA